GCGCUGAUAGUGUAGCGGUUAUCAUUAUUGUCUUCCAUUAAACAGAGAACAAUAGACCGGGGUUCGACUCCCCGUCAGCGCA